UACGGAGGAUGCAAGCGUUAUCCGGAAUGAUUGGGCGUAAAGCGUCCGCAGGUGGCUAUGUAAGUCUGCUGUUAAAGAGUGAGGCUCAACCUCAUAAAAGCAGUGGAAACUACACGGCUAGAGUGCGUUCGGGGCAGAGGGAAUUCCUGGUGUAGCGGUGAAAUGCGUAGAUAUCAGGAAGAACACCGGUGGCGAAAGCGCUCUGCUAGGCCGCAACUGACACUGAGGGACGAAAGCUAGGGGAGCGAAUGGG
rnacentral:rRNA from 1 species